UUAAGAGUAGCAGCAGAGUCAGCAGUAUUGGGCUUCACCAUUACUAAGCCAGGUGUGUUGAGGUCUAUGAUCCAGUAAUGAACCUGAAUCAGAAAUGGAAUCUCAGAAAGGGCAAUGAGUACAACUUCACAAGUCCAGCUCUGCUUAGCUUUUCUAGGUAGAAGAAGAAAUAGAGAAUCAAUCCAAAUUGCCAGAGAAGUCUGAAAGAGGACCACAAGGCAAGGUCAACAUCUUAAAGAAUUCCAUCUUCAUUUUUCAUGUAACGUCAGGAACCAGGAAGACUUGUUUAAAAGAAUAAACUACCAGGGAAAGAAAUGGAAGUUUUCAUUACUGGAAUCCAAUAAUAUUAUCUUUAUGUUGAA